CUCUCACAAGAAGAGAAGAAAAGGUACCAGAGGAUUAACAAAGUGGAACAUGGCAUCCCUUAGUCUAUUGCUGCCCUUCUUCUCAUGUCCUGCAGAACAUCUGGGCUUCAAUUUAGAAAAGAAAGGAGGCAGUCAUUGGAAAUGGUCACAGAGGGAUACUGUGGUGAAGGCAAGAGAGAGAGAUGCUAGGACACAUGGUGAACAGAUUUAUUUUUUAUUUUUUUGCUGGGGGAAACUUUUGGAUCCAUCCAUCCUGCUCUACUACCAAUGAGUUAGUUGGAACUAAAGAAGGUUCGAGAUCACUGACCAGAACAGAAUAACCCAGCCCAAGAAAAUGUCUGCUUUUUUUUUUCCCAAGUCCAUCCAGAUUCUGAGUUCUUUUUCCAUUGCUGCUCCAGAAUUUCUUCAUCCUCCUCUGAUGACUACCCUACUUUCAAUGCAUGAAUAUCCAACACUGAAUUGAGAUGAAAUUUAUUAUUUUUAUUAUUAUUGCCUGCUUAAUGGAGGACUCAAUUUGUGUAUUUUUUUUUUUAACACUUCAAAUAGCUUCUAUGUCUGGAGGACUUCUAGGUAACUAGAAGAGCAACAGACUUGAAACUUCUAAGAUGUUUAUUAUAGAUUGUUCUCUUGA